rnacentral:rRNA from 1 species
GUGGGGAAUCUUCCGCAAUGGACGAAAGUCUGACGGAGCAACGCCGCGUGAGUGAUGAAGGUCUUCGGAUUGUAAAACUCUGUUGUCAGGGACGAAUGUGCGAACGUUGAAUAAGCGUUUGUAUUGACGGUACCUGACGAGGAAGCCACGGCUAACUACGUGCCAGCAGCCGCGGUAAUACGUAGGUGGCAAGCGUUGUCCGGAAUUAUUGGGCGUAAAGAGCAUGUAGGCGGGCUUUUAAGUCCGACGUGAAAAUGCGGGGCUUAACCCCGUAUGGCGUUGGAUACUGGAAGUCUUGAGUGCAGGAGAGGAAAGGGGAAUUCCCAGUGUAGCGGUGAAAUGCGUAGAUAUUGGGAGGAACACCAGUGGCGAAGGCGCCUUUCUGGACUGUGUCUGACGCUGAGAUGCGAAAGCCAGGGUAGCAAACGGGAUUAGAAACCCUAGUAGUCC